GUGACUGCGUACCUUUUGUAUAAUGGGUCAGCGACUUAUAUUCUGUAGCAAGGUUAACCGUAUAGGGGAGCCGGAGGGAAACCGAGUCUUAAUUGGGCGUUAAGUUGCAGGGUAUAGACCCGAAACCCGGUGAUCUAGCCAUGGGCAGGUUGAAGGUUGGGUAACACUAACUGGAGGACCGAACCGACUAAUGUUGAAAAAUUAGCGGAUGACCUGUGGCUGGGGGUGAAAGGCCAAUCAAACCGGGAGAUAGCUGGUUCUCCCCGAAAGCUAUUUAGGUAGCGCCUCGUGAAUUCAUCUCCGGGGGUAGAGCACUGUUUCGGCUAGGGGGCCAUCCCGGCUUACCAACCCGAUGCAAACUGCGAAUACCGGAGAAUGUUAUCACGGGAGACACACGGCGGGUGCUAACGUCCGUCGUGAAGAGGGAAACAACCCAGACCGCCAGCUAAGGUCCCAAAGUCAUGGUUAAGUGGGAAACGAUGUGGGAAGGCCCAGACAGCCAGGAUGUUGGCUUAGAAGCAGCCAUCAUUUAAAGAAAGCGUAAUAGCUCACUGGUCGAGUCGGCCUGCGCGGAAGAUGUAACGGGGCUAAACCAUGCACCGAAGCUGCGGCAGCGAACGUAUCACCCAAGACAACUUUACGGAGUUGACGAUUGACGGAGCGAAGCGACGUCAAAGCGUUCAUUAAAGUCGAGUUGGCUUAGGGAUACGUUCGUUGGGUAGGGGAGCGUUCUGUAAGCCUGUGAAGGUGUGUCGUGAGGCAUGCUGGAGGUAUCAGAAGUGCGAAUGCUGACAUAAGUAACGAUAAAGCGGGUGAAAAGCCCGCUCGCCGGAAGACCAAGGGUUCCUGUCCAACGUUAAUCGGGGCAGGGUGAGUCGACCCCUAAGGCGAGGCCGAAAGGCGUAGUCGAUGGGAAACGGGUUAAUAUUCCCGUACUUGGUGUUACUGCGAAGGGGGGACGGAGAAGGCUAUGUUGGCCGGGCGACGGUUGUCCCGGUUUAAGCGUGUAGGUGUGUGUUCCAGGUAAAUCCGGUUCACUUUAACACUGAGGCGUGACGACGAGGCACUACGGUGCUGAAGCAACAAAUGCCCUGCUUCCAGGAAAAGCCUCUAAGCAUCAGGUAACACGAAAUCGUACCCCAAACCGACACAGGUGGUCAGGUAGAGAAUACCAAGGCGCUUGAGAGAACUCGGGUGAAGGAACUAGGCAAAAUGGUGCCGUAACUUCGGGAGAAGGCACGCUGACACGUAGGUGAAGUGAUUUACUCAUGGAGCUGAAGUCAGUCGAAGAUACCAGCUGGCUGCAACUGUUUAUUAAAAACACAGCACUGUGCAAACACGAAAGUGGACGUAUACGGUGUGACGCCUGCCCGGUGCCGGAAGGUUAAUUGAUGGGGUCAGCGCAAGCGAAGCUCCUGAUCGAAGCCCCGGUAAACGGCGGCCGUAACUAUAACGGUCCUAAGGUAGCGAAAUUCCUUGUCGGGUAAGUUCCGACCUGCACGAAUGGCGUAAUGAUGGCCAGGCUGUCUCCACCCGAGACUCAGUGAAAUUGAACUCGCUGUGAAGAUGCAGUGUACCCGCGGCAAGACGGAAAGACCCCGUGAACCUUUACUAUAGCUUGACACUGAACAUUGAGCCUUGAUGUGUAGGAUAGGUGGGAGGCUUUGAAGUGUGGACGCCAGUCUGCAUGGAGCCGACCUUGAAAUACCACCCUUUAAUGUUUGAUGUUCUAACGUGGACCCGUAAUCCGGGUUGCGGACAGUGUCUGGUGGGUAGUUUGACUGGGGCGGUCUCCUCCUAAAGAGUAACGGAGGAGCACGAAGGUUGGCUAAUCCUGGUCGGACAUCAGGAGGUUAGUGCAAUGGCAUAAGCCAGCUUGACUGCGAGCGUGACGGCGCGAGCAGGUGCGAAAGCAGGUCAUAGUGAUCCGGUGGUUCUGAAUGGAAGGGCCAUCGCUCAACGGAUAAAAGGUACUCCGGGGAUAACAGGCUGAUACCGCCCAAGAGUUCAUAUCGACGGCGGUGUUUGGCACCUCGAUGUCGGCUCAUCACAUCCUGGGGCUGAAGUAGGUCCCAAGGGUAUGGCUGUUCGCCAUUUAAAGUGGUACGCGAGCUGGGUUUAGAACGUCGUGAGACAGUUCGGUCCCUAUCUGCCGUGGGCGCUGGAGAACUGAGGGGGGCUGCUCCUAGUACGAGAGGACCGGAGUGGACGCAUCACUGGUGUUCGGGUUGUCAUGCCAAUGGCACUGCCCGGUAGCUAAAUGCGGAAGAGAUAAGUGCUGAAAGCAUCUAAGCACGAAACUUGCCCCGAGAUGAGUUCUCCCUGAGACUUAGAGUCUCCUGAAGGAACGUUGAAGACGACGACGUUGAUAGGCCGGGUGUGUAAGCGCAGCGAUGCGUUGAGCUAACCGGUACUAAUGAACCGUGAGGCUUAACCUUACAACGCCGAAG
rnacentral:rRNA from 1 species